UACGUAGGGGGCGAGCGUUGUCCGGAAUUACUGGGCGUAAAGAGCGCGUAGGCGGCCGCGUGCAUCCGCAGUGAAAGCCCCUGGCUCAACUAGGGGAGGACUGCGGCGAUGGCGCGGCUGGAGGGUGGUAGAGGCAGGCGGAAGUCCCGAAGUAGUGGUGAAAUGCGUAGAGAUCGGGAGGAACACCAGUGGCGAAGGCGGCCUGCUGGGCCACACCUGACGCUGAGGCGCGAAAGCCGGGGGAGCGAACGG
rnacentral:rRNA from 1 species